GUGCUUGCUUUGGCAGGGCACAUAAAAAAAAAUUGGAAUGACAAGAGAUUAACAUGGCCCCUGCACAAAGGUGACAACCAAAUUUAUCUAUUUAAUUUUUCUAUUUUU